GUUGCCAAUGCCUCUUCUGAUAAGAAGAGAGGGUGUGCUCAGGGCAGGAGCCCCAGGAGGAUAGGGCAGGUUGCAGGCUGUCUGUCCCCAGGGAGCAGGACCCAUUGAAUGUGUUGACUGGCAGGACACGGAAAAUGGACUUUUGGGGUAUAGAAACCACCACCCAAGAUGAAAGCAUCAGUGCACAUCCUGCUUUGGAAGGAUUCGGAUUUUAGAAAAGAAGAGAGGCGGUGAGAGCUCAUUACUGCAUCGCUGAAGUGGAAGGCUUAGCCAUGAGCCUGCAAUCUGGGAGGAGGAGAAUAAAGCGAUGAUGGCAAGUCCUAGCA
rnacentral:lncRNA from 1 species